rnacentral:lncRNA from 1 species
CAGACCUCCAGCAAGCAGACAUGCCUGGGUUCCAGUGAGCUGCCCAUUCUGCUGCCCUCCGAGUUCACAGGUGAGGGAGAGUCAGCUCCGAGAGGAUACUUGGGCAACUACAGGGAUGCGACGAAGCAGGAUCUGAACCCAGACCCCUUGAUCUCCAGCCCUCAGCCUGUGCUAGAAGACUGGGAUGGGGCUAGCCAAGUUCACCUGUAACUCCAGCACUUGGGAGGCGGAGGCAAGAGAAGCCCUGUGAAUCUGCGGCCAGUCUGGGCUACGUGGUGAGGCUUUCCCAGCUACACAUGGGAACUAACAACAGCGGCCAUCAUGGGUUAUUCUGAGGAGUAGUUGGCUCAUCACAAGGCACUGAACAUCAUCUAGCCAUAGUGGAUACAGCCAAGCCACAGAGGUGCCACAGUUCUAGAAAUGGUGGCUCUUGGAGGAGCUGGGUCAGGAUUUCAGCCUGGGCAUUCCGAUUCCAGAGGCUGCUGAUCUUCUGGACACCCACCACCACCGCGCCUCCCUGCGGCUCCCACUAGAACAAGGACAGCAGAGGAGACUGAAGGAGAGGAGACACUGGGGUCAAGGAUGCAGAUUUUCCAUCCAGCUCAAAAGAAGUGAGCCUGGGAUAACUGGCGUCCAUGGGAGGUGUUUGGUCCUUCACCAACUCUUAACGGACACAUUUUAAAUAUUGGAUAAUACAUUUUUAAAGCACAGCAGGUUCCCAUAACCCAGCAAGAGCAACUCCAGAGAGGCCCAAGGAAGUUCUGGAAUAAAA